rnacentral:rRNA from 1 species
UACGUAGGUGGCGAGCGUUAUCCGGAAUUAUUGGGCGUAAAGAGCGCGCAGGUGGUUGAUUAAGUCUGAUGUGAAAGCCCACGGCUUAACCGUGGAGGGUCAUUGGAAACUGGUCGACUUGAGUGCAGAAGAGGGAAGUGGAAUUCCAUGUGUAGCGGUGAAAUGCGUAGAGAUAUGGAGGAACACCAGUGGCGGAGGCGGCUUCCUGGUCUGUAACUGACACUGAGGCGCGAAAGCGUGGGGAGGCAAACAGGAUUAGAUA